GAUGAACGCUGGCGGCGUGCCUAAUACAUGCAAGUCGAGCGAAUGGAUUAAGAGCUUGCUCUUAUGAAGUUAGCGGCGGACGGGUGAGUAACACGUGGGUAACCUGCCCAUAAGACUGGGAUAACUCCGGGAAAACGUGGCUAAUACCGGAUAACAUUUUGAACCGCAUGGUUCGAAAUUGAAAGGCGGCUUCGGCUGUCACUUAUGGAUUGACCAGGGUCGCAUUAGCUAGUUGGUGAGGUAACGGCUCACCAAGGCGACGAUGCGUAGCCGACCUGAGAGGGUGAUCGGCCACACUGGGACUGAGACACGGCCCAGACUCCUACGGGAGGCAGCAGUAGGGAAUCUUCCGCAAUGGACGAAAGUCUGACGGAGCAACGCCGCGUGAGUGAUGAAGGCUUUCGGGUCGUAAAACUCUGUUGUUAGGGAAGAACAAGUGCUAGUUGAAUAAGCUGGCACCUUGACGGUACCUAACCAGAAAGCCACGGCUAACUACGUGCCAGCCGCCGCGGUAA
rnacentral:rRNA from 1 species